rnacentral:misc_RNA from 1 species
UGGCAGCUCUCUUCGUCACCUCGGAUGCUGGUCGGGAGUUAGCGAAGGAAACAAAGGAAAACACUGAAAAGAUGGCAACGGAGACUGGAGUUGCCGACCAGAAGUAUGGCGGAUAUGGCCCAGGCGGUGGCGGCUACCACAAUGGCGGCGGUUACCCUGGAGGAGGCUACAACGGCGGCGGCUACCACAAUGGUGGCGGUUAUCCGGGAGGAGGCUACCACAACGGCGGGGGUUAUCCAGGUAGUGGUGGCGGCUAUCACAAUGGUGGUGGAGGUCGCUGCUACAAUGGUUGUUGCCGCCGCGGAUACUAUGGUGGUUGCCAGUGUUGCGCGCAUCCAGAUGAGAUCCCCGAUCCGGAAUACCGUGCUGAGCCUAUGUAUGGACAUUAGAUGGGUAUAACCAGGACUCCAAGGGAAUGUUUUCCAGUAUUGAAUAAAGUGACUUGCGAGUGUAAGAGUUGAGGAAACAUUUGCCCAAUGUUUCUUUGCUCAAGCUGUAUUACGUUUUCUGUGAUAUUUAGAUGUUUG